rnacentral:misc_RNA from 1 species
GCAGUAGCAAAGGUCAUGAAGAAGGAGACAGAGAAGAACAUGUCAUUGCGAAAGCUUUGGAAAUAAAUAAAUUAAAUUCCAAAUUUAAUGUUGUGUUUUUUGGACCAACCAAUGGGAUCACGAAGAAAAAGAAUCAAAUGGUGUACCCAUUGGUUUGCAGGAUUGGUUAUUCCUGCUUGGACUAGGUUGGCAUCAUGCAUGUGCUUUUUAUUCACAGGGUGUAAAGACAUCAUUUUCCUAGUCAAGGGGCUCUAAGAGACGCAUAGUUUUGUAUCUUCUGUUUUAAACAGAAGGCCGAGCCUGUGGAUUUUCUUUUUAAUCGUGGAUUCUCUAAGUGAUUAUGACUAUUGCUUCUCUUGAUUUGACUCCUAUAUUUUUCGCAUCUUAGUAUUACUUCUACAAUGAGAACUCUACUUCCAUUCUUUCCC